GCCCAGUGAUGAGACCAAGGCGAAUAUGAGCCCACUGAAUUUGAGUCUGAGCUCUCCUGUGUUCCUAUUGGCUGGUAAUCUUGGCUGGGCAGUGAAGGUUUGCUGUCUUGCUGUAAGGGCCUGCCUACAUUCAAUAAGCCUCUUCCUCUAAAGUUCCUAUCCUUUGAAGAUAUAGGGGAGGAGAAAGGAGGGGGCUUACAGUUGUUGUUUUUGUGUGUUUGUGAGGGUCACAGGUUGAGUCUCAGUUCUCUGGAAUAAUUCUGUUGGCGUUGAGCUCUCUCUUUGGUAAUCUGAGGGCA